AUGAACCUUAUCACUUAGAGGAAGGAGAAGUCGUAACAAGGUUUCCGUAGGUGAACCUGCGGAAGGAUCAUUCGCACUAUCCAAAACUUGUCGUGAACCUGGCUGAAUGCGACUGCUUGUGAAUUUGUUUUUGCAAGUGGAAGCUAUGGGCGACUGGAGGUAUUCGGAGCUGCACUGUGUGUAUGUUCUGGGUGCUGCCCAUCGUCAUUGGUCCCUCUUGGACCUUCCACAACUCAACUUACUCUUGUUUCAGCUUGUGUCAAGGAUAAUUUGAUU
rnacentral:misc_RNA from 1 species